rnacentral:lncRNA from 1 species
CCAGCUCCAAAUAAUACAUUUAUUAUCCGCUCAAAUCAAUAGGAUAUCUGGAGCAGUACAACUUCAAAAAUAUUAUUUGCAGCAUUCACAAUGCGACAAUAUUUCAUAAGUAAUAAUGCAUUUACCCUCAGGGUAUCCUUUAUGCUUGCAACUUUUAUCGCAGGGCUCGGUUACGCAGAAGUCCGGAAGAUAAUCUUUAUUUAUAACGCAGUCAGCAUUCACCUUGUACAACCCCUCUUCCAGCAAUAAAAAAAAAAAAGAAGCAACCAAACAACAAUAUUAAAAUUUGUAGGGAAAAUAUUAAAUUAUCAUAGUUUUACAAGCUAAUCAUCCACUAAUACUCAGAAUACUUGAUUCCUUGCCUAAAAUAAGAGUUCCUAUUUUUUAUGUCGGAAAAAAAUUGCCGACAACAGUAGUUGAUCAAAUUUGCUAUAGGCUUUCAGCUGACUAUGAAUGCAACAAACUCCAGUACUAGCAUAAAACAUGACAAACAAUAAAAUGAAAAGCUAUAAUUUCUCCCCAAGCCCUCUAAUCUUAUAUAUAUAUAUGCACGCAUAUGAAAGUUUGCAAAUAUCGUACCAGAGACCAACACGAGCAGCAGCAUGAAAGAAAAAAUUGCUUUCUUCUUUCCGUCCAUAGUGGUGUAUG